rnacentral:rRNA from 1 species
UAGGGAAUAUUAGUCAUGGGCGGAAGCCUGAACUAGCCACCCCGCGUGUGCGAAGAAGGCCUUCGGGUUGUAAAGCACUUUUUGAGAGGAUGAGGAAGGACGGUACUCUCAGAAUAAGUCUCGGCUAACUACGUGCCAGCAGCCGCGGUAGCACGUAGGAGGCAAACGUUAUCCGGAUUUACUGGGCGUAAAGCGCGUGUAGGUGGUUUGGUAAGUAGAGCGUGAAAGCUCCUGGCUCAACUGGGAGAGGGC